AUCUGUUACAUUCAAGCCCUUGCUAAACGAGUUCACACAAUGCUGCUUUAGCCUAUCGCCGCCAGGGAAAGCUUUCUGUAUUCCUCAGUGUACUGGAGUUGUGGUGUGUGUGGUGACAUUCCCUUGCUGACGCACCAGAAGUAUUGAUACAGCUCAUCUGUAGUAAUAAUAA